AUAUGAAAACAUAAAUAAAUCCUAUAUAGAGUUGGAAAAUUCCUAAUUUAAUUCUAAAACAAUUUCCACAGCUAUUGUUGGUAAAACAGGAAGUGCCAAGUGAAUUAGGACUUUGUUGGAGAAGAAUAUGGCCCAAAAAAAGACUGUUUUUCGCUGCUGGACAAAGGCACUGUUGCACUUGCUUGUGACACACCCUGGGGUGUGUGGUGGGCUGCUGGGACAUGUUAUGCCUUGUUUUCUGAGGAAUUUCUUGCCCUUUUGUCCCUCUUUUCUUCCUUUCAUGCUUUCCUUGUUUCUUAAGACCAAUUCCCGCAUCAUACUUCCCCACUUGGAAAAAACUCGUCCUCGAGUUGGAACAAUUUGCAACAAACCUAAAACAUUGCCGUAACAACUAUAGUUAUUAAAGGUGCGCCUUUGAGGUGCAAGGCGCACCAAGCAAGGGGGUCUGCACCUUAAAACCCAUAACGCGGUUGACCUUUUUAAGGCACACCCAGGCGUGCCCCAGAGAGACUAGCACAUCCAUGAGUCCUGCGAGAUUUGAGGGAUUCUAUAACCAUCACAGCAAUGAAGAGGAAGACGAAGCAGAAGAAGAAGUGGUGUUGUGGUUGUCCUUUUCUUUUACUUAAUUGUAACUUGUAAGUGAGGUUAGCAGCUGGCUGAGUAUGUGGUUGUACUGUAAUGGGCUUAAAGUAUGUGGGCCUAAAUCUAAUUUAAAGUUUUU
rnacentral:misc_RNA from 1 species